rnacentral:rRNA from 1 species
AACGAACGCUGGCGGCAUGCCUAACACAUGCAAGUCGAACGAGACCUUCGGGUCUAGUGGCGCACGGGUGCGUAACGCGUGGGAACCUGCCUUUAGGUUCGGAAUAACUCAGAGAAAUUUGAGCUAAUACCGGAUGAUGUCUUCGGACCAAAGAUUUAUCGCCUUUAGAUGGGCCCGCGUAAGAUUAGCUAGUUGGUGGGGUAAAGGCCUACCAAGGCGACGAUCUUUAGCUGGUCUGAGAGGAUGAUCAGCCACACUGGGACUGAGACACGGCCCAGACUCCUACGGGAGGCAGCAGUGGGGAAUAUUGGACAAUGGGCGAAAGCCUGAUCCAGCAAUGCCGCGUGAGUGAUGAAGGCCUUAGGGUUGUAAAGCUCUUUUACCCGAGAUGAUAAUGACAGUAAUCGGGAGAAUAAGCUCCGGCCUAACUCCGUGCCAGCAGCCGCGGUAAAGUGACUACUG